GUGGGGAAUCUUGCGCAAUGGGCGAAAGCCUGACGCAGCCAUGCCGCGUGAAUGAUGAAGGUCUUAGGAUUGUAAAAUUCUUUCACCGGGGACGAUAAUGACGGUACCCGGAGAAGAAGCCCCGGCUAACUUCGUGCCAGCAGCCGCGGUAAUACGAAGGGGGCUAGCGUUGCUCGGAAUUACUGGGCGUAAAGGGAGCGUAGGCGGAUAGUUCAGUCAGAGGUGAAAGCCCAGGGCUCAACCUUGGAACUGCCUUUGAUACUGGCUAUCUUGAGUUUGGGAGAGGUGUGUGGAACUCCGAGUGUAGAGGUGAAAUUCGUAGAUAUUCGGAAGAACACCAGUGGCGAAGGCGACACACUGGCCCAAUACUGACGCUGAGGCUCGAAAGCGUGGGGAGCAAACAGG
rnacentral:rRNA from 1 species